rnacentral:rRNA from 1 species
UACGGAGGGUGCGAGCGUUGUCCGGAAUCACGUGGGCGUAAAGGGCGCGUAGGUGGUUCUGUAUGUCUACCGUGAAAGCAUACAGCUCAACUGUAUUUUGUCGGUAGAAACUGCAGGACUUGAGGCUGGGAGGGGCUGGUGGAAUUCCCUGUGUAGCGGUGAAAUGCGUAGAGAUGGGGGAGAACACUCGUGGCGAAGGCGGCCAGCUAGACCAGUUCUGACACUGAGGCGCGACAGCGUGGGGAGCAAACAGG